ACGAGGUCCCUUGUAUCUUUGAUGUAGUUUGUUUUUCAUUUAUUGCUGGUGUAGUUCGUUGCUUUCUCUUUUCAUCUCUCCUUUUUUUCUGUGUUUGAGUGAGGGUCUUCCCUCUGCUCUUGACGGGGUCAUGAGAGUGUAGAGGAGCCAUUGAGGAGGCUUUCCUCCUUGUCCGAUCUUGAUCGACUGAGCCUUUGUUUGCGUCAGGAUGAGAUUCUCCCCUUGUUCCCGACAGUCAGUUUCAGCUCAUGUUAGGAUGAGGUUCUCCUUCUGUUCCUAACAGGACUGUGGGGGCAACUAAGGGCCACUGCAAGGGCCUCUCCCCCC
rnacentral:lncRNA from 1 species